UCCCUGAUAGCUCAGAUGGCAAAGUAUCUGCCUGCAAUGCAGGAGACCCUGGUUCAAUUCCUGGGUUGGGAA
rnacentral:tRNA from 1 species